UUAAAAAUCGAGCGCGGGGCUUUGUUCCACAGAGGCUCGGGAGCCGUUGGAGCAAGAGGAGGAGUACCCAAUCUGCAAUGUUCCAUCACACUUCCAAGGAAGUGGUCUGGUGGAAGCCGCUGAUUGGUGGAAGCGGACCAGACGAAGCAGCUGAUUGGGAGCAAACCCGGGCACUGGAUAGAC